GAUCAUGGCUCAGGAUGAACGCUGGCGGCGUGCCUAACACAUGCAAGUCAACGGAGCUGAUUUGAUGAGAUCUUCGGAUGGAUUUAAAAACAGCUUAGUGGCGGACGGGUGAGUAACGCGUGGGUAACCUGCCUCACACUGGGGGAUAACAGUUAGAAAUAGCUGCUAAUACCGCAUAAGCGCACGGUUCCGCAUGGAACAGUGUGAAAAACUCCGGUGGUGUGAGAUGGACCCG
rnacentral:rRNA from 1 species